CAGCCGCCACGGGAAUACAGAGGUGCCAAGCGUUAGGCGGAAUCACUGGGCUUAAAGCGUGUGUAGGCGGAUCCGUAAGUACCUUGUGAAAUCCCACGGCUUAACCGUGGAACUGCUCGGUAUACUGCGGAUCUUGAGCCACCUAGGGGCGAGUGGAACAAAUGGUGGAGCGGUGAAAUGCGUAGAUAUCAUUUGGAACGCCAAUGGAGAAAUCAACUCGCUGGGGGUGUGCUGACGCUGAGACACGAAAGCCAGGGGAGCAAACGGGAUUAGAUACCCGAGUAGUCCCUGUCUCUUAUAA
rnacentral:rRNA from 1 species